UGCAUCCUCCUUUAAAAUAUCGAUAUACCGACAUAUCGAAAGCAUUUCACCACACUUCGAUAAAACGACAAAACAUGUAUGAUUUAAACCAAUCAGCAAUUCAAGUUACACUAUACGUAAUUGAUUUUCAAGCUUCUAUCUUAGUUUAUAAAGUCGAGAUUCAAAUUGACAGUUGUUAUAGCUUGAUAUGCUGUCAUCUACGUUUCAAUUUGAACUUUACUGACCUUAGAAGAUACCGGGUGAUUCCCUCAGCCCGAUGUCAAUACUACUGCGAAAUAUCGUUUAAAACGGACACUCUAUCAUCACCAUAUCAGUCAGAAGACGUCCACUGACGGACAAAAACAUUGUCCUAUUUCAUUAAACUUAAACAAUGAAGAUUUUUCUAUUACUGUUAUUGGUCGUUGCCAUAGUAACCGGGGCCUCGGGUAAACUAGUGCUUUCGAAGAAGCCAACAGUAAGAAAACCAAUAAUAUUCUACAGCCUGAAGCCGGCAUCAUCGAUCAUGAAAUACUACAGCCGACCAAAAUACGUCUGAAAUUGUGAAACUGAACCACUGCCACUUACCGCCGUAUUCAGAGACAUUUAAUGAUUACCUAACACACAUUGAACGCCGUGGUGGUCACCGGUGACCGACGUUAGCGGAGGAUUUGCCUUCAACAGUUUUCUAUUGGCAGUCAAAGACUUAAACUAUUACUUAGUAACUAUUUUGUUACGGAAACAAUUGCUAAGGAUUAGGUUAUGUAACUAUUAAAUGUAUAACUGCCGUACUCAGAGUCACUUAGUCGCUAGUAACGAUUAAAUGACUCUGAGUGCGGCAGUUAAUUUAUAAUGUAAUAUAAGAUAAGAAAUAACUAAAUAUAAUUUUUAUUUUAAGGUUUUA